CGGCGCGAUUGACAGACAGUCUCCCUGACAACCGGACACACGCGCCUCCAGGUGACGGUGGCGGGCGUGCGGUGCAACGUGAGGCGACUUUGUCACGCUGGAGGGACACCUCACCUGAAACCUGUGGACAGGAGUGGGACCCGCUCUUGGGUUGUCAUGACUAGCCACUAUACCGAGGACAUGGCCUAGAAGAUCAGCCCACCUUCAGGGUUACGGACUUUGUGGCUCCGGAGACGGGUGGGCUCGAGGUCGGUGCCUCUGCAGAAAAUCGGUGUGUCGUAGGAGACAGAAAGAUCUCUGGCUGUGUGCCUAGAGACCCGAGUUCUUUGGGCACAGAGCUUGGAAAAAGUGACACAACGGACUUCUAACAUCGUAAAUCAGUUGACAGCUGGCUGACAUUAUUUUUGGUUUGCUGCUGGCAGAGAAUUUCAGCCUUACGUCUGUGGCGUUUUUCAUAAAUACAAGAAGGACUCAAAUAGACGUUGAGUAUUUUACUUAAAAGUAAC